rfam:Vibrio harveyi ATCC BAA-1116 chromosome I, complete sequence.
GGAGGAACCUCUGGAGAGAACCGUUAAAUCGGUCGCCGAAGGAGCAAGUCCUGCACAUUUGUGUAGGGUGAAACUCUCAGGCAAAAGGACAGAGGAGUGGAA